GGACGAACGCUGGCGGCGUGCCUAAUACAUGCAAGUAGAACGCUGAAGAGAGGAGCUUGCUCUUCUUGGAUGAGUUGCGAACGGGUGAGUAACGCGUAGGUAACCUGCCUUGUAGCGGGGGAUAACUAUUGGAAACGAUAGCUAAUACCGCAUAACAAUGGAUGACACAUGUCAUUUAUUUGAAAGGGGCAAUUGCUCCACUACAAGAUGGACCUGCGUUGUAUUAGCUAGUAGGUGAGGUAAUGGCUCACCUAGGCGACGAUACAUAGCCGACCUGAGAGGGUGAUCGGCCACACUGGGACUGAGACACGGCCCAGACUCCUACGGGAGGCAGCAGUAGGGAAUCUUCGGCAAUGGGGGCAACCCUGACCGAGCAACGCCGCGUGAGUGAAGAAGGUUUUCGGAUCGUAAAGCUCUGUUGUAAGUCAAGAACGGGUGUGAGAGUGGAAAGUUCACACUGUGACGGUAGCUUACCAGAAAGGGACGGCUAACUACGUGCCAGCAGCCGCGGUAAUACGUAGGUCCCGAGCGUUGUCCGGAUUUAUUGGGCGUAAAGCGAGCGCAGGCGGUUUGAUAAGUCUGAAGUUAAAGGCUGUGGCUCAACCAUAGUUCGCUUUGGAAACUGUCAAACUUGAGUGCAGAAGGGGAGAGUGGAAUUCCAUGUGUAGCGGUGAAAUGCGUAGAUAUAUGGAGGAACACCGGUGGCGAAAGCGGCUCUCUGGUCUGUAACUGACGCUGAGGCUCGAAAGCGUGGGGAGCGAACAGGAUUAGAUACCCUGGUAGUCCACGCCGCAAACGAUGAGUGCUAGGUGUUGGAUCCUUUCCGGGAUUCAGUGCCGCAGCUAACGCAUUAAGCACUCCGCCUGGGGAGUACGACCGCAAGGUUGAAACUCAAAGGAAUUGACGGGGGCCCGCACAAGCGGUGGAGCAUGUGGUUUAAUUCGAAGCAACGCGAAGAACCUUACCAGGUCUUGACAUCCCGAUGCUAUUUCUAGAGAUAGAAAGUUACUUCGGUACAUCGGUGACAGGUGGUGCAUGGUUGUCGUCAGCUCGUGUCGUGAGAUGUUGGGUUAAGUCCCGCAACGAGCGCAACCCCUAUUGUUAGUUGCCAUCAUUCAGUUGGGCACUCUAGCGAGACUGCCGGUAAUAAACCGGAGGAAGGUGGGGAUGACGUCAAAUCAUCAUGCCCCUUAUGACCUGGGCUACACACGUGCUACAAUGGUUGGUACAACGAGUUGCGAGUCGGUGACGGCGAGCUAAUCUCUUAAAGCCAAUCUCAGUUCGGAUUGUAGGCUGCAACUCGCCUACAUGAAGUCGGAAUCGCUAGUAAUCGCGGAUCAGCACGCCGCGGUGAAUACGUUCCCGGGCCUUG
rnacentral:rRNA from 1 species